UUUCCGGAUUGACUCGGCUCGUUCCGUAAAGCGCCGGAGGAUUGGCGGGGGCGUCGGGAGAGAGGAGGCUGGAAACUACAUUUCCCAUGACGCAGUGAGAAUUUAAAACCAAAACAAUUGGACAGCACUUGUUUUGACAACUGGGCGGCACUGUGCCACGGGACCCUGGUCUUUGAAACCUUGGCAUGCGCGAGAAUUUCCAAGUAUGACAGAGCCAAAACUCCAAGUCAUGUCAGUAGGGCAUGCCCAAUAGAAAAUGCUUUGACAUCUAACAACACCCAGAACCAAUGAUUCCUCCCCAUGGUACCAAGAAGACCUAGACAUGACCGGAACCUAAAUGCUGGAACUCUUUCAGGAGCAAAGGGUCUGUUGACCAGAAAGAUCCAGGGCUAAAAUCCACCUCAACAUACCCGUGUAGUCAAAUUGACGCCCUCCAAUCAGACCCUGCCAAGCCAAAAUUCCUAAUACGUUUCCUUGCCAUCUGUGUUAGUCUGUUUUGACGCUGCUGAUAAAGACAUACCUGAGACUGAACAAUUUACGAAAGAGGUUUAAUUGGACUUACAGUUCCACGUGGCUGGGGAAACCUCACAAUCAUGGCAGAAAGCAAGGAGGAGCAAGUCACAUCUUACAUGGAUGGCAGCAGGCAAAAAUAAAGAGCUUGUACAGGGAAACUCCUGUUUCUCAAAACCAUCA